GAUGAAGAACGCAGUGAAAUGCGAUAAUUAAUGUGAAUUGCAGAAUUCAGUGAAUCAUCGAGUCUUUGAACGCACAUUGCGCCUUAUGGUAUUCCGUAAGGCAUGCCUGUCUGAGCGUCAGUAAUACAACUCAAGCGCAAUUUUAUUGUUGCGUCUUGGACGUCAUCGGGCGAGCGAGUUGGGUUUGCUUUUUCUCUAAGUAACACCCCGCUCGCUGCCCGGAAAUGUAUUGACAGUCAAGCUUGCAUCUUUUUAUGCCAGACGUAAUAUCUAAAACUAUUCGCCUGGGAGCUGCAGCGUGUGAGUGUCAUUUUUGAACCCAACAAUGCUACAACUGCUUUGUUUUGAUUUGACCUCAGAUCAGGUAGGGAUACCCGCUGAACUUAAGCAUAUCAAUAAGCGGAGGA
rnacentral:misc_RNA from 1 species